rnacentral:rRNA from 1 species
UACGAGGGGUCCAAACGUUAUUCGGAAUCACUGGGCUUACAGAGUUCGUAGGCGGUCCAGAAAGUGGGGUGUGAAAGCCCUCGGCUCAACCGAGGAACUGCGCUCCAAACUACUGGGCUAGAGGAAGAUAGGGGUGAGCAGAACUGAUGGUGGAGCGGUGAAAUGCGUUGAUAUCAUCAGGAAUACCGGAGGCGAAGGCGGCUCACUGGGUCUUUUCUGACGCUGAGGAACGAAAGCUAGGGGAGCAAACGGG